rnacentral:rRNA from 1 species
CUUGGUCAUUUAGAGGAAGUAAAAGUCGUAACAAGGUUUCCGUGGGUGAACCUGCGGAAGGAUCAUUCAUAAUAAGUGUUUUAUGGCACUUUUUAAAUCCAUAUCCACCUUGUGUGCAAUGUCAGUCGAUCUUCUUCAUGGAGAUCGGCCAAACAUCAACCUUAUUUUUUAACUCUUUGUCUGAAAAAUAUUAUGAAUAAACAAUUCAAAAUACAACUUUCAACAACGGAUCUCUUGGCUCUCGCAUCGAUGAAGAACGCAGCGAAAUGCGAUACGUAAUGUGAAUUGCAGAAUUCAGUGAAUCAUCGAAUCUUUGAACGCAUAUUGCGCUCUUUGGUAUUCCGAAGAGCAUGCUUGUUUGAGUAUCAGUAAACACCUCAAAGCUUUUGGAUUUUUUUUGAAAGCUUUGGACUUGAGCAAUCCCAACGCCAAUCUUUUUCAGAUCGGCGGCGGGCUGCUUGAAAUGCAGGUGCAGCUGGACUUUCUCCUGAGCUAAAAGCAUAUUCAUUUAGUCCCGUCAAACGGAUUAUUACUUUUGCUGCAGCUAACAUAAAGGGAGUUUGACCGUAUUGGCUGACUGAUGCAGGAUUUUACAAGGGUCGGCAACGAUUCUUGUUAAACUCGAUCUCAAAUCAAGUAAGACUACCCGCUGAACUUAAGCAUAUCAAUAAGCGGAGGA